CCUGUGAGGGUUGCUGGAGGUAUCAGAAGUGCGAAUGCUGACAUAAGUAACGAUAAUGCGGGUGAAAAACCCGCACGCCGGAAGACCAAGGGUUCCUGUCCAACGUUAAUCGGGGCAGGGUGAGUCGACCCCUAAGGCGAGGCCGAAAGGCGUAGUCGAUGGGAAACAGGUUAAUAUUCCUGUACUUGGUGUUACUGCGAAGGGGGGACGGAGAAGGCUAUGUUAGCCGGGCGACGGUUGUCCCGGUUUAAGCAUGUAGGCGGAGGUUCCAGGUAAAUCCGGUACCUUAUUAACGCUGAGGUGUGAUGACGAGGCACUACGGUGCUGAAG
rnacentral:rRNA from 2 species